AUACGUAGGGGGCAAGCGUUGUCCGGAAUGACUGGGCGUAAAGAGUACGUAGGCGGCUAGGUAAGUCAGAUGUGAAAGGCAUGGGCUCAACCCAUGUAAGCAUUUGAAACUGCUUAGCUUGAGUUAAGGAGAGGAAAGUGGAAUUCCUGGUGUAGCGGUGAAAUGCGUAGAUAUCAGGAGGAAUAUCAGUGGCGAAGGCGACUUUCUGGACUUAUACUGACGCUGAGGUACGAAAGCGUGGGGAGCAAACAGGAUUAGAUACCCUGGUAGUCCACGCCGUAAACGAUGAGUGCUAGGUGUCGGGGGUCAAACCUCGGUGCCGGAGUUAACACAUUAAGCACUCCGCCUGGGGAGUACGUGCGCAAGCAUGAA
rnacentral:rRNA from 1 species